UACGAAGGGGGCUAGCGUUGUUCGGAAUUACUGGGCGUAAAGCGCACGUAGGCGGACUAUUAAGUCAGGGGUGAAAUCCCGGGGCUCAACCCCGGAACUGCCUUUGAUACUGGUAGUCUCGAGUCCGGAAGAGGUGAGUGGAAUUCCGAGUGUAGAGGUGAAAUUCGUAGAUAUUCGGAGGAACACCAGUGGCGAAGGCGGCUCACUGGUCCGGUACUGACGCUGAGGUGCGAAAAGCGUGGGGGAGCAAACAGGG
rnacentral:rRNA from 1 species